GACCCGGUCAUGGAGUAGGCUCCUGAACUGCCAGUCAUUAGGGGGACUCAGUUGGCCACUGAAGUUCAGGAGGGAGGAGCGAGGGGAUUGCUUGAGAGAAGCUUGGUGUGGUAGGUAGAGGCAGAAAGUCUGAGGGAAUUAAGGCUAGGGGGAGGCUGGAUGGGCUUGGUCAUAGUACAGCAGGGACGGACAGAAAUCGGCAGUAGGGGCCCAAGGAAGCCUUUUUUCUUCUUUUUUUCUUUUUUUAAGGCGGAGUUUUACUCUGUCAUCCAGCCUGGACUGCAGUGGUGCAAUCUUGGCUCACUGCAAUCUCUGCCUCCUGAGUUCACACCGUACUCCUACCUCAGUCUCCGGAGUAGUUGGGACCACGGGUGCCCGCCACCAUGCCCGGCUAAUUUUUUUGUUUUUUUAGUAGAAAGUGUUUCACUGUGUUUGCUGGGAUGGUCUAUUUCCUAAUCUCGUGAUCCACCCGCCUUGGCUUCCCAAAGUGCUGGGGUUAGAGGUGUGAGCUACUACGCCUGGCCAAGAGGCCCUUUUUUUGUUCAGAUAGUCAUGCUGUAUCACCCAGGUAGGAGUGCAGUGGUGUGAUCUCAGUGUCUGCUGGUUGCAACCUCCGCCUCGCGGGUUCAAGCGAUUCUCCUCCUUCGGUCUCCCGAGUAGCUGGGAUUACAGGUGCCCAUCACCACGCCUGGCUAGUUCUUAGAUUUUUAGUAGAGAUGGGGUUUUGCCAUAUUGGUCAGGUUGAUUUCAGUUGCUCCACCUGCCUCGGCUUUCUAAAGUGCUGGGAUUACAGGUGUGAGCCACAGUGCCCAGCCCUGGGAGAAGCUUUCUUAAAAGUGGGGGCUACUCAUUCUGAGCACUGUUCUGGGAGACGGUGGGCGUGCAGAAAGAGCGGCAACCCCGUUACUCCUCCCCGCUGCAGGCAAUGAUUUAACUAGAAGGCAGCUCCAGAGACCGCUGUAUUAGGGGAGUGCCCACUGCUUCCCGGGUCAUGAUUCAUCCCGAAGGACCCAAGAGUCUAAGUCUGAGCUCUGUCAGCCUCUGUACUUUUGCCAGCUCCCCUUGAGCAGGUCUCCCAAAGUGCUGAGAUUCCAGGCAUGAACCACCAUGCCCAGCUUGGGUGACAGAGUGAGACACUGUCUUUAAAAAAAAAAAAAAAAAAAGACGUUGAUAUGGUACUAUGAUCUAAUAUACGGAUCAAUUUGCCCAAAAAUGUAUCUUACAUCAUAAUUUUUAGGAAUCUUUCUGGCUCAGGAUUCCAUCCAGGAUCAUGCUUUGCAUUUAGUGGUCAGGUCCCUUUAAUCUCUUUUCACCUAGAAUGUUCCUCAGACUUUCACGACAUUGAAGGUUUCGAAGAGUGCAAGCCCAUUAUUAGAUGGAGUCUCGUUGUCUCCCAGGCUGGAGUGCAUUGGUGUGAUCUUGGCUCACUGCAACCUCUGCUUGGCUCCCAGGUUCAAGCAAUUCUACCUCAGCCUCCCGAGUAGCUGGGAUUAGAGGUACCUGCCACCACCCAGCUAACUUAUCUACUUGUGGAGACGGGGUUUAACCAUGUUGGCCAGGCUGAUCUCGAAUUCCUGAGCUCAAGUGAUCUGUCUCCCUCAGCCUCCCAAAGUGCUGGGAUUACAGGUGUGAGCCACUGUACCUGGCAAUGUUCAUUUUCUUGUCAUGUGUGUACACAAGUGUGAAAAGAUUCUAUUAUACAGAUGAAACAUGUGCUGUUUAAU
rnacentral:lncRNA from 1 species